ACGCCAGCAAAAACAUGAGUUAUAAAAUUUCAUCAAUAAAUAAUAUGAACGUGUGACAAAUACCAACAUAUAACUUAUGUAGCUCCCUAACUCAAUCAAGUUCUUUAAAAUCUACAAACUAGAAUUUCAUGAAGAUAUAAAAUCUGAAAAAUGGGGAAAACUGGGGACAUGGAAAUAAAAACUAACAAAAAUGGGAACGAAAUUGGGGUAAAGAAUUCUCUCUAUGGACCAUGGGUCGAAAGCCGAAGCCUCUCUGCGGCUUGCAUCCUAACUCUGUUCCUUUUCACGUCGAUUUGCAUAUCCAGUGGCAAUCACAAACGCUUUCUAUAAUCUGUAAACCAUUAUUCCCUUGUAAGCAAGACACCAUAGGCAACAUCCAUUGACACCCAAAAUAAUGUCCUUGGUCCUACCAGAAAAAAAUAGAUGAUGAAUUGCUACUUUACAAACUAAAAAUGAAUCUCAUGCCCAGGUGGGUUCGUCUUUGGAAUUGGGGAUACAGCAGCAAAUUAAGAAUUCUUGUAUAUCACCCUUUU
rnacentral:lncRNA from 1 species